CGCCUCGCCCCCUCCCCCUUCCGGGUACCUGGAAACGUCGGGCCUGGGAGCCAAUUCCUGCCGGGGACGCGGGCCCGGGCGGCCGCGGGAAGCCAAGGAUACAGCAUUACAUUUAGUCUUCAUGUCUCCGUAGGCUCCUCUUGGCUGUGACAUUUCUCAUACUUUUCCUCAUUUUUGAUGGCCUCGACAAUGUUGAGAAGUACUGUGACUCUUCUAAAGGAGUGAAAAAUUACAAACUCAGCUGAGGCGUAACUGAGAAUACGUUAUAAAGAGAGGAAAGCAGACAAUAUUGCCAGUGAGGAAUACCACAUGUUUUAACGAUAGCACCGAAAUUUUAAAAGGAAAAGCAAGAGGUGGAUUAAAAUUUGUACAGAAGACUGGUAUCCUUAUAAGAAGAGGAGGAGACACCAGGAGUGCCAAUGCACAGAGAAAAGGCCAUGUGAAGACAUAGCAAGAAGGCAGCCAUCUGAAAGCCGAGGAGAGAGGACUUACCAGAAACCAACCCUGCUGGCACCUUGAUCUUGGACUUCCAGCCUCCAGAGCUAUGAGAAAAUAAAUUUCUGCUGUGUAAGCCACCCAGUCUGUGGUAUUUUGUUAUGGCAGCCCUGGUAGACUAAUACGGUGUCUGUUGGCAUUUUGGAUCUUUCAAAGUACUUACUCUAACGCUACAGGAUCACUAGUACUUGUUCUGUUUUAUAAGUGUGCACACGUAAUAGUUUAAUCAUGUUACAUGGGUCUCUGUUUUCCAGCUUCUGAUGUCUAUUUUAUGCCACCUCUUACCUGAUUGCUAAGCCAUUGCUCUGUAUUUUAGUUUUU